AGCUUUCUGUAUCCGUGUUGAGAUUUCAUCAGCAAUCAAUCCAUUGAGGCUGCUGUAACUUCUCAAAUAAAUGAAGUG
rnacentral:pre_miRNA from 1 species